AGUCGAGCGGUAGCACAGGGGAGCUUGCUCCCUGGGUGACGAGCGGCGGACGGGUGAGUAAUGUCUGGGAAACUGCCUGAUGGAGGGGGAUAACUACUGGAAACGGUAGCUAAUACCGCAUAACGUCGCAAGACCAAAGAGGGGGACCUUCGGGCCUCUUGCCAUCAGAUGUGCCCAGAUGGGAUUAGCUAGUAGGUGGGGUAAUGGCUCACCUAGGCGACGAUCCCUAGCUGGUCUGAGAGGAUGACCAGCCACACUGGAACUGAGACACGGUCCAGACUCCUACGGGAGGCAGCAGUGGGGAAUAUUGCACAAUGGGCGCAAGCCUGAUGCAGCCAUGCCGCGUGUGUGAAGAAGGCCUUCGGGUUGUAAAGCACUUUCAGCGAGGAGGAAGGUGGUGAGCUUAAUACGUUCAUCAAUUGACGUUACUCGCAGAAGAAGCACCGGCUAACUCCGUGCCAGCAGCCGCGGUAAUACGGAGGGUGCAAGCGUUAAUCGGAAUUACUGGGCGUAAAGCGCACGCAGGCGGUUUGUUAAGUCAGAUGUGAAAUCCCCGGGCUCAACCUGGGAACUGCAUUUGAACUGGCAAGCUAGAGUCUCGUAGAGGGGGGGUAGAAUUCCAGGUGUAGCGGUGAAAUGCGUAGAGAUCUGGAGGAAUACCGGUGGCGAAAGCGGCCCCCUGGACGAGACUGACGCUCAGUGCGAAAGCGUGGGGAGCAAACAGGAUUAGAUACCCUGCUAGUCCACGCUGUAAACGAUGUCGAUUUUGCAGGUUGUGCCCUUGAAGCCUGACUUCC
rnacentral:rRNA from 1 species